UACCUUAAAGCAGUUUUGUGACGAAAGAUGCUAAUAAGUUCCCGAGAGAAUAAUUUACAGUUCAAUCAAAGUUGGUGGCAUUUUUUCUAAGCUUUACUUUUAUAUUUUUUUUAUUUCAAAUAAUAGAAAGUACUUCGAUGAUUGUUUUUACGAAAGAAGUGGUUAUGCUCUUGAUAGCAUUUUCGUCUUUGGGGUAUUUUAAAGGAGCACUUGCAAAACCAAUGUCUGGGACUUUCAAGUUUGCUCCAGAGUAUCUAGUGAUCCGGGAAUCUCUAGUAAAAUCUGCUACAGCUAGCGAUAAAAUGGUAAAAGUUGCAUUUUUGAACACAGAAAAUAUUGGUAAAAUCAACCCAUUCAACAUGGACAGGCUAUUUCAGGAUUCUGAGUAUCAGUCUACAAGUCAUUUAGGUAAAAUAUCACGAGAUCUUGAAGGUGCAAUGCAUGUACUAAAAGGCAGCCCUAGGGGAAAACGAUAUAUUUCUCAGAGACCAAGACCCUGUCUGUUCAAGAUAUGCAGCUUGAUGGGAAAAAGGCCUCAUCCUAGACCCAACAAUAAUAUCUAAAAGAGUUUUUUUCAUGAUAACAAGUUAUUUUAAAGUACAAUAUUGAUUUAACACAAAUUAUUUAAGUUAAUUGUAAUAUAUUUUAUAUCAUAGCAGUAUAUUGAGGUGUUAUUCUGUAAGAUACUUUACGAAUUAUUCUUUACUAACUUUAGUAUUAUUAACAGCAUUAUGAGAUAUUGUAGUUUGUUUUGUUACUAAUUUAUUUAUUUUUAUACCGUAAAAAUAAUCUAACAUUUUUCAGUUUUGUAUAAAAUUUUUUAUAAAAUAUAAAAUAUUUUAUUUUU